CUUACAAUUACUUAAAUGUUUUUUCUUUUUAUGUACUUUGUUUUUGUGACUGCACCAAUAUUGAUAUAACAAAGUUUUAACAAUAAUUACUUUUCUGCUUACGUUAUGAGGCCUGUGGUCAAUAGUGGAAGCUUAGAAGGAUUAAUAAAUCACUGUGACAUCAUAUCAUUCUGGGAGGAGGGGAUUGUCAUAGUUAGUAGAAUUAAAUAGCAUACAGUGGGAUAAAUAUUAUCCUGGGUGGAGGGGAUUGUUAGUAAUAAGAAGUAGUGAUCCCAUUGCUAGCAGUAUAUCCUGUCAGGUUGACCUCCACGCCGUUCCUCUGGAAACCAUAGUGGUUAAUUCACGACAAAGUCAUCAUGAUGAGCCAACUGACCUGAGUUCUUUCCAUCUUUACCUUAUAAUCUUUCACUGGUAGUCUACCAAUGUGUGCUAAUAGUACAGGUUACCAUUCUGUAUCACCCUUCGAUAAUAUAAGAUUAUGUUCCAAAAAAUGAAAUCGACUUUAUUUGUAGCAAAACCAGUUAUUGUGAUUUAAAAAGUAAUGAAACAAUUCUAUGGGACCAAUCCGUAAGCAUAUCUUUUUAGAUAAAACUUAAUUUUCCAAAUCGGUUUACAACUGACGGAGUUAUGAGGUAAGGAACAUAAAAAAAUACAACCGAAUUGAGAACAUUCUUUUUAUCGAAGUCAGUUAAAAAAAAAUCUAUUCUGAUAACUAAGGUAAGCCUCCGCUCCCAGUAAUUUCACUGGCACUAUCUCGCCUUUCUAACUAGAACAGAACAAUGCUAGCAUACAGCUGUUGGCAGCAAAAACACGACUCAAACAAUACAAACGUCUGUAAUACAAAAGUCCAUCUGUCUGUUUGCUUAGUUGCUAGGUGGUAAAAUCCUUACUAAUAUUAUAAAUGUGAAAGUGAGUUUGUUUGUUUGUUACCUUACAGCAUCUUAACGGGUUAACUAAUUACUAUACAAAUUAGUAUACACAUACUAUAUGGUAUGUAGAAGGAUAUAGGCUACUUUUUAUUUCGGUCAGUAAGUAAGUUAAUUGAUGCUGUUAAUUAAAUGGCAUAAAAUGAGGACUUUUCAAAUUUUUAUUGUAAGAUUAAAAAAAAAACUGUGUUACCACCAUUGAUACGAAUCACACAAUCACAUCUACUUGGCGUACUUAAAAUCAGUUUAAAUUCUUUUUUGAAAAUAAGUUUAAAUUGACUGAACAGAAUUAAUAACGAUAAAAAAAAAGUUAAAAUAAAAAUCCUUAAUUGCGGCAAUACUCGAUUCUACCAAGUACUUGAUCUUGAUUUGACACUUUUGAUGUGUGUAAUUAUUAAUUAACAUUCAUAUAAUUAAAAAAUUGCAGCCAAAUUGAGAAUUUUCUUUUUUAAAUCACUUAUUUUAAAACUUACAUUAGUCAAACUUUACUAACAUAUGUAACGCACAAAGUCAUGCAUUAUCAUCAUUAAUUACUUAGCCGAAAUUCCUAAUAUACAAUAAAGUAUACAUUGGCGAGAAUAUAUAUUUUAUUUGUACAGAGUUGACAAGCUAUUAAAUUAGGUUGGGCCUACAAACGAGGAACAUCAAGCUACGCCGGCGAGCGGAGUUUACGAGCUAGGGCGAAUGGCUAAAUAUUCCAGCCUAAUUGAUGGCGGUCGAACACCGAGCCGGCCACGUUACUCCUCGUAAUGGCUCAAAAAUGAUUGAAUGCUUGAAAAAAUCGUACACUCUUGGCAGAGUGGUCGUGGUUUUCACAAUGACGGUGGAUCGUCGGUGAGGCUCUCCUUCGCGAUUGAGGUCCUCGCAGUAUGUCUCCAUCUACUUCUGUUCGCCGCCGAGCGAGAGCAUUCCACAAUAGAUUUCUGUGUAGCCGUUUUGAUGAGCGCUAUAUAUGAAUGAAUACAUAUCAUAUAAGAAAAUUGGAAGCAAAAUGAUAAAAAGUCAAGAAUCCAGUACUUAAAGUUAUCCUGAAGUUACUCGAGUAAAUGAGUCAACAGACGACUCACUUGAAAAGAACAAGAAGGGAGUUGCACAAGUUAUUCGAAGUUAUGACGACUGAGAUAAAGUUUGCGUCUGUAUGUGUAAAAUAUGAUACAUAUUAUGAUAUAUACUAUUGAUAUAUGACAA